GGGAGGCAGCAGUGGGGAAUAUUGCACAAUGGGCGCAAGCAUGAUGCAGCGACGCCGCGUGAGGGAUGACGGCCUUCGGGUUGUAAACCUCUUUCACCAGGGACGAAGCGCAAGUGACGGUACCUGGAGAAGAAGCACCGGCCAACUACGUGCCAGCAGCCGCGGUAAUACGUAGGGUGCGAGCGUUGUCCGGAAUUACUGGGCGUAAAGAGCUCGUAGGUGGUUUGUCGCGUUGUUCGUGAAAACUCACAGCUUAACUGUGGGCGUGCGGGCGAUACGGGCAGACUAGAGUACUGCAGGGGAGACUGGAAUUCCUGGUGUAGCGGUGGAAUGCGCAGAUAUCAGGAGGAACACCGGUGGCGAAGGCGGGUCUCUGGGCAGUAACUGACGCUGAGGAGCGAAAGCGUGGGGAGCGAACAGGAUUAGAUACCCUGGUAGUCCACGCCGUAAACGGUGGGUACUAGGUGUGGGUUCCUUCCUUGGGAUCCGUGCCGUAGCUAACGCACUAAGUACCCCGCCUGGGGAGUACGGCCGCAAGGCUAAAACUCAAAGGAAUAGACGGGGGCCCGCACAAGCGGCGGAGCAUGUGGAUUAAUUCGAUGCAACGCGAAGAACCUUACCUGGGUUUGACAUGCACAGGACGCUGGUAGAGAUAUCAGUUCCCUUGUGGCCUGUGUGCAGGUGGUGCAUGGCUGUCGUCAGCUCGUGUCGUGAGAUGUUGGGUUAAGUCCCGCAACGAGCGCAACCCCUAUCUUAUGUUGCCAGCGCGUUAUGGCGGGGACUCGUAAGAGACUGCCGGGGUCAACUCGGAGGAAGGUGGGGAGGACGUCAAGUCAUCAUGCCCCUUAUGUCCAGGGCUUCACACAUGCUACAAUGGCCGGUACAAAGGGCUGCGAAUCCGCGAGGUGGAGCGAAUCCCUUGAAAGCCGGUCUCAGUUCGGAUCGGGGUGUGCAACUCGACCCCGCGAAGUUGGAGUCGCUAGUAAUCGCAGAUCAGCAACGCUGCGGUGAAUAAGUUCCCGGGCCUUGCACUCACCGCCCG
rnacentral:rRNA from 1 species